GACGAACGCCGGCGGCGUGCAUAAUACAUGCAAGUAGAACGCUGAAGGAGGAGCUUGCUUCUCAGGAUGAGUUGCGAACGGGUGAGUAACGCGUAGGUAACCUGCCUGGUAGCGGGGGAUAACUAUUGGAAACGAUAGCUAAUACCGCAUAAUAGUAGAUGUUGCACGACAUUUGCUUAAAAGGUGCAAUUGCAUCACUACCAGAUGGACAUGCGUUGUAUUAGCUAGUUGGUGGGGUAACGGCUCACCAAGGCGACGAUACAUAGCCGACCUGAGAGGGUGAUCGGCCACACUGGGACUGAGACACGGCCCAGACUCCUACGGGAGGCAGCAGUAGGGAAUCUUCGGCAAUGGACGGAAGUCUGACCGAGCAACGCCGCGUGAGUGAAGAAGGUUUUCGGAUCGUAAAGCUCUGUUGUAAGAGAAGAACGAGUGUGAGAGUGGAAAGUUCACACUGUGACGGUAUCUUACCAGAAAGGGACGGCUAACUACGUGCCAGCAGCCGCGGUAAUACGUAGGUCCCGAGCGUUGUCCGGAUUUAUUGGGCGUAAAGCGAGCGCAGGCGGUUAGAUAAGUCUGAAGUUAAAGGCUGUGGCUUAACCAUAGUACGCUUUGGAAACUGUUUAACUUGAGUGCAAGAGGGGAGAGUGGAAUUCCAUGUGUAGCGGUGAAAUGCGUAGAUAUAUGGAGGAACACCGGUGGCGAAAGCGGCUCUCUGGCUUGUAACUGACGCUGAGGCUCGAAAGCGUGGGGAGCAAACAGG
rnacentral:rRNA from 1 species